rnacentral:piRNA from 1 species
UGGGCAUGUUUUUCAGUGUACAUUACUGU